rnacentral:rRNA from 1 species
AGAGUUUGAUCAUGGCUCAGAACGAACGCUGGCGGCAGGCUUAACACAUGCAAGUCGAGCGCCCCGCAAGGGGAGCGGCAGACGGGUGAGUAACGCGUGGGAAUCUACCUUUUGCUACGGAAUAACUCAGGGAAACUUGUGCUAAUACCGUAUGUGCCCUUCGGGGGAAAGAUUUAUCGGCAAAGGAUGAGCCCGCGUUGGAUUAGGUAGUUGGUGGGGUAAUGGCCUACCAAGCCGACGAUACAUAGCUGGUCUGAGAGGAUGAUCAGCCACAUUGGGACUGAGACACGGCCCAAACUCCUACGGGAGGCAGCAGUGGGGAAUAUUGGACAAUGGGCGCAAGCCUGAUCCAGCCAUGCCGCGUGAGUGAUGAAGGCCUUAGGGUUGUAAAGCUCUUUUGCCGGGGAAGAUAAUGACGGUACCCGGAGAAUAAGUCCCGGCUAACUUCGUGCCAGCAGCCGCGGUAAUACGAAGGGGACUAGCGUUGUUCGGAACCACUGGGCGUAAAGCGCACGUAGGCGGAUUUGUUAGUCAGGGGUGAAAUCCCGGGGCUCAACCUCGGAACUGCCUUUGAUACUGCAAGUCUCGAGUCCGAUAGAGGUGGGUGGAAUUCCUAGUGUAGAGGUGAAAUUCGUAGAUAUUAGGAAGAACACCGGUGGCGAAGGCGGCCCACUGGAUCGGUACUGACGCUGAGGUGCGAAAGCGUGGGGAGUAAACAGGAUUAGAUACCCUGGUAGUCCAA